rnacentral:lncRNA from 1 species
UCUGAAUUCUCCUCUAAAUUCAGAGACAAAACCUACCCUCCUCGUAUCUCUAUAGUGUUGCUGGAGUUCGCCGCCGGCGACAACGCCACCUACGCAAACCGCCGUCAAAAUGACACCAUAAAUUUCCCUCACCCUCCUCUACUAGAAUAUAUUACCCUUUUCUUUCAAAUCUUAGCAGAGAUCCUCGAAUCUUCGUCGGAAGGUUUUCCGGCCAUGAUGCCAUUUACGCCAAAUGACCCCAAAUUAACAGCAUAGCCUCAUCUCCUCAUCCUUUACACGACCCGCCUAACCACUUGUCUCGAAUAUGGCCGGAAUUGCUCGAAUAUCAAAUCGAAUUUUUCUGGCCAAAACUUCAAUUGCUCCAAACCUUACCAGAUUGACACCAAAUGACCCCAUCGCCUUCCUCGUAGUGGAUUUUUGUCAAUAAAGCCCAAGGUUCGUCAGGAAUGGCCGAAUUUGAAAUGUGAAAUGUCAGCCGGAUUUCGAGCCAUGGCAGCGAGUUUCGUUUCCUUGUUUAAUUCUUUUAUUUUUACUUCUUUGAUCGCAUUCAUAUCGAGUUAUGUUGAUUCUGAUCCCAAUUGUGUGUCUGAUUGUUGUCUAAUUAGAUUGCAAUCUGUCUUGUUUGUCUUAGUUUAGUUUGAUUGUUAACAUGGUUUCAGAUUUAAAUUUGUUUUGAUAAUUGGCUAAUUUUGUUAGUUAGGUUUGGAUUUCAGUCUAAUUAGGUUCCAAUCAUUCUUUGAUAUGUGUUUUAACUUCAUGGUUUCAUUAUCUGAUUACUCUGAAGAUUGUUAGUUAAUUAGGUUUAAUGGUUAGAUAGCCAUAGUUAGGAUUGGGCAGGUUUAGAUUAAUUUAGUAGUUUCAAAUAAGUUCGAGGGUAUUUCAGGUAACUAGUAGGAUACAGAAACGUUGUAGAAUCUACCUGAAACUCCUAGAACCUUCUAGAUAGGGGUAUACUUAGAAUUUGAGGAAGUUUGAGGCACUAACUUGUGUGACAAGUCUAAAGAAUGUGGGAUUAAACUGAGAAUGCACAGGGGCUAAAAGGAAAACUAAAAUUCUGUGCUCACUUCUUGGUUGCCUAUAAAAGGCAUCACAAAUACCUUGUUGAGGCUCUUCUUUUUUAGCCAUAAAAAAAUAGUUCCUUCUAUAGUCCUUUUCCUUUAGAUUUUAGAGACAGAUUUGAAAUCCAAAUAUCAAAAAAUAAAAAAAGUAAAAAACAAACGAAAACCAAAAAAUAGUUACUGUUUCAUUGCUAGUUAAGUUCUUUUCAAGUUUCACGUGUGUCUGUCCAGUUCUGCUCUACUUCUGAGUUUAUCAAGGGUACUCAAGGUUAUGUGAUAGCUGGUUUGAAAGGAUUUUGGAUCGGUCAUACUAGCUGAGUUCAGUUUCGAAGUCCUUUGGAUGUUUGUUGGGUCUUUGUGUUGCUAUUCAAGCUCAUCUGAAUCACUUGAAUGUGUUGGCUGGUUUCCUGUUGAAAUUUCUGUUUGAUUUGAGUCCCAAUCCUCCCUAUUGCUGGUUGUUUCUGUAGUAUCUGCUGCUGCUGUGUUGUGUUGAAUUUACUGCUGUUGCGCUACUGCCCAGCUGACUUUCCCUUUCUCUUAUUUUGCUCCAAUUUCCAGGUACAUGUUCUAAGGCUCUCAAAUAUAUGGAAAUAGAGUGACUGAAUUGCUUUGAAGUGGAUCCUUGAACCCUCACUAUUUUGGCUUAAGUUUACAUGUGUGAAUCAGUAGUUUACUCGACUUUUCAUGCUAGUUGUUGAAUUAUUCAUGGACUGUAUAAUUUGGAUUAUUAAAUGUGAAUCAUGUUCUAUUAUUUGCCUAGUAAGGGUGUUCAUAAUAUGUGUUCGAGUACCAACUACAAUUCGUUUCGUUAUAGGUUAGUUGAAAGCAGAUUCCGUCUGAAUUUGUUUGAAAGUGAUUCAAUAAUAAGAAUGACCUUUAUUCUGCGCUUAAUUUGUAAUCAAAUGAAGUUGUUCAAAAUAUGUCCUUAAUUGUAUUGAAUGGCCUGGAAAAAGGAUUAGUUUGCUUAUGGAGUAUCUCAUGUUGUUUCCACAUUGAUAAAUAAAAGGGGAAGAGAGUUGAAUUCUAAUUACGGAUGCAAAUUUUAAUUGGACCUAGAGUUGUUAAAUUGCAAUGAGUAGUUUGAGUAAUCAAUUUUAAGAAAUGUAGUGUUAGUUUUAUAAAUUAAUAACGUGCUGCUGGAGUUCUUUGAUAAGGCAGCCUUGAGUUGGGUAUUAGCCAACUGGCAUAUGGCAUCAUAGCCUGCUCAACCCCAAGGAAAUCGAUCCUUCAACCU